AUUGAUUGUGAUAAUCUCUACACCCAACAUGGGGCUCAAACUCACAACCCUGAGAUCGAGUCACAUGCUCUACCGAAUGAGCCAGG
rnacentral:snoRNA from 1 species